UGGAUGCUGUGCUGUUCUCCUCUUGGUC
rnacentral:piRNA from 1 species